CGCUAUAGAAGCUAAAUAGGAAACAGCGUUAGCCUUUUAAGCUAAAGAUUGGUGCUUCCCAACCACCCCUAGCGA
rnacentral:tRNA from 1 species